UUGAUGAGAAAAUAUAUUUUAUAAAAUCAUUGCAAAUUUUUAUUAUCUGUUUUUUUUAGUGCUAAUUAAUUAUUGAUAUGCAUAUUAAUCAUUCGAUAUUUUUAAUUCUAAAAAUUACGUGUGUGUCAAUAAAAAAUGAUAAUUGGAGUAAAUUUAAUAUUUAUUUUCUGGAGUUUAUCCAGGAAAUAAUGACGCAAUCUUAAACAAGUUUUGGACCUGUUUACAGACAAGAAUGAAUUUGUUGCUGCUGCAUCGCGAUGAGUGAAUUUUCUCAUGUUGAAAUUGACCAACUGGGUAUAAUCCACCUACCAGAAUUGCAAUUCAAGGGCGUCAGGUGGUCGACGUUAAUCACUCGAAGGAGAAAACGCACAACCCGGUACACAUAUAUAUACAUAUAUAGAUACAUAGUGACAUAGUAUAAUACAUACAUUUCAGUCAGCAGAGAGAAAACGAUGAAGGAGAAACUAUCUAUCCACUGGGACGUCUAGCUGAACAUGUCGUUGAUCCAUAUAGAAUCUAGUGAAGGACUUUAGCUGAUGUUGUAUAGCUAUAUGUAUAUAAUUUUAUACAAAUACAUGGAAUAUAUAUUAUAUAUAUACAAGCUGGGUACAACUCGUCCAUGCAAAUGAGAUGAGAGUAUUUGGCAUCACCCUAUAUCUCUGGACCCUUUUAUACAACUAAAACAAGUUACGUACGAUGAGUGGGUGACAAAGAUGGGUAAUUUAAAAUUGGAUUUACCAAUGUAUUAGACAAAAAGAAAAUUACAAUUAAACAAAGAUGAAUAAAGUAAAAAUAAAGUUGAGGGUUUACUAGUGGACGUUAGAAAGGUUUAUGUUGGGUUAUUUCAUGAAGAGAAACGCGGUUUAUGCUUAUAUGAUAGUGGUCGCUACAAGAAGAAA